rnacentral:ncRNA from 1 species
GCGGCGUGCUUAACACAUGCAAGUCGAACGAGACGAUUGAAAGCUUGCUUUUGAAAGUCGAGUGGCAAACGGGUGAGUAACGCGUAGACAACCUGCCGUAAAGAUGGGGACAACAGUCCGAAAGGACUGCUAAUACCGAAUGUUGUGGAACUUCCGCAUGGGAGCUCCACUAAAGAUGGCCUCUACUUGUAAGCUAUCGCUUUACGAUGGGUCUGCGUCUGAUUAGCUAGUUGGUGGGGUAACGGCUUACCAAGGCGACGAUCAGUAGCCGGUCUGAGAGGAUGAACGGCCACAUUGGAACUGAGACACGGUCCAGACUCCUACGGGAGGCAGCAGUGGGGAAUCUUCCGCAAUGGGCGCAAGCCUGACGGAGCAACGCCGC